UACGUAGGGGGCGAGCGUUGUCCGGAUUUAUUGGGCGUAAAGAGCUCGUAGGCGGCUUGGCAAGUCGGGUGUGAAACCUCCAGGCUCAACCUGGAGACGCCACUCGAUACUGCUAUGGCUAGAGUCCGGUAGGGGACCACGGAAUUCCUGGUGUAGCGGUGAAAUGCGCAGAUAUCAGGAGGAACACCGGUGGCGAAGGCGGUGGUCUGGGCCGGCACUGACGCUCAGGAACGAAAGCUAGGGUAGCAAACAGG
rnacentral:rRNA from 1 species